rnacentral:rRNA from 1 species
UGCGAGCAGCAGCGGUAAUACGUCGACUGCGCGCGUGACUCGGCUUCACUGGGCGUAAAGGGUGCGUAGGCGGACAGAUGUGUCAGAGGUGAAAGCCCCGAGCUCAACUUGGGAACUACCUUUGAUACUGUUUAUCUAGAGUCCGAGAGAGGUUAGUGGAAUUCCCAGUGUAGAGGUGAAAUUCGUAGAUAUUGGGAAGAACACCAGUGGCGAAGGCGGCUAACUGGCUCGGUACUGAAGCUGAGAUGCGCACGCGUUGGGCGCAAACAGGAUUAGAUC